rnacentral:rRNA from 1 species
AUUGAACGCUGGCGGCAGGCCUAACACAUGCAAGUCGAGCGGAUGGAGGGAGCUUGCUCCUGGAUUCAGCGGCGGACGUGCGAGUGAUGCCUAGGAAUCUGCCUGGUCGUGGGGGAUAACGUCAGGACACGGGCGCUAAUACCGCAUACGUCCUGAGGGAGAAAGUGGGGGAUCUUCGGACCUCACGCUAUCAGAUGACCCUAGGUCGGAUUAGCUAGUUGGUGGGGUAAAGGCCUACCAAGGCGACGAUCCGUAACUGGUCUGAGAGGAUGAUCAGUCACACUGGAACUGAGACACGGUCCAGACUCCUACGGGAGGCAGCAGUGGGGAAUAUUGGACAAUGGGCGAAAGCCUGAUCCAGCCACGCCGCGUGUGUGAAGAAGGUCUUCGGAUUGUAAAGCACUUUAAGUUGGGAGGAAGAACAGUAAGAGAAUCCCUGGAUGUUUUGACGUUACCAACAGAGUAAGCACCGGCUAACUUCGUG